rnacentral:rRNA from 1 species
UACCAGCUCUCCGAGUGGUGUGGAUGUUUAUUGGGCCUAAAGCAUCCGUAGCUGGCUGGACAAGUCCCCUGUUAAAUCCACCGAUUUAAUCGUUGGUGUGCGGGGGAUACUGUUCGGCUAGGGGACGGGAGAGGCAGACGGUAUUUUUGGGGUAGGGGUGAAAUCCUAUAAUCCCAGGAAGACCACCAGUGGCGAAGGCUGUCUGCUAGAACGCGCCCGACGGUGAGGGAUGAAAGCUGGGGGAGCGAACCGGAUUAGAUACCCGGGUAGUCCCAGCUGUAAACGAUGCAGGCUAGGUGUUUGGACGGCCACGUGCCGUUCUAGUGCCGCAGGGAAGCCGUUAAGCCUGCCGCCUGGGGAGUACGGCCGCAAGGCUGAAACUUAAAGGAAUUGGCGGGGAGCACCACAAGGGGUGAAGCUUGCGGUUU